GGAACGAGUGGCGGACGGGUGAGUAACACGUGGGUAACCUGCCCUUAAGUGGGGGAUAACAUUUGGAAACAGAUGCUAAUACCGCAUAGAUCCAAGAACCGCAKGGUUCUUGGCUGAAAGAUGGCGUAAGCUAUCGCUUUUGGAUGGACCCGCGGCGUAUUAGCUAGUUGGUGAGGUAAUGGCUCACCAAGGCGAUGAUACGUAGCCKAACUGAGAGGUUGAUCGGMCACAUUGGGACUGAGACACGGCCCAAACUCCUACGGGAGGCAGCAGUAGGGAAUCUUCCACAAUGGACGCAAGUCUGAUGGAGCAACGCCGCGUGAGUGAAGAAGGCUUUCGGGUCGUAAAACUCUGUUGUUGGAGAAGAAUGGUCGGCAGAGUAACUGUUGYCGGCGUGACGGUAUCCAACCAGAAAGCCACGGCUAACUACGUGCCAGCAGCCGCGGUAAUACGUAGGUGGCAAGCGUUAUCCGGAUUUAUUGGGCGUAAAGCGAGCGCAGGCGGUUUUUUAAGUCUGAUGUGAAAGCCCUCGGCUUAACCGAGGAAGCGCAUCGGAAACUGGGAAACUUGAGUGCAGAAGAGGACAGUGGAACUCCAUGUGUAGCGGUGAAAUGCGUAGAUAUAUGGAAGAACACCAGUGGCGAAGGCGGCUGUCUGGUCUGUAACUGACGCUGAGGCUCGAAAGCAUGGGUAGCGAACAGGAUUAGAUACCCUGGUAGUCCAUGCCGUAAACGAUGAAUGCUAGGUGUUGGAGGGUUUCCGCCCUUCAGUGCCGCAGCUAACGCAUUAAGCAUUCCGCCUGGGGAGUACGACCGCAAGGUUGAAACUCAAAGGAAUUGACGGGGGCCCGCACAAGCGGUGGAGCAUGUGGUUUAAUUCGAAGCAACGCGAAGAACCUUACCAGGUCUUGACAUCUUUUGAUCACCUGAGAGAUCAGGUUUCCCCUUCGGGGGCAAAAUGACAGGUGGUGCAUGGUUGUCGUCAGCUCGUGUCGUGAGAUGUUGGGUUAAGUCCCGCAACGAGCGCAACCCUUAUGACUA
rnacentral:rRNA from 1 species